rnacentral:rRNA from 1 species
UCGCUACUACCGAUUGAAUGUCUUAGUGAGUAAUACGGACCGAGUAAUCAACAGGCUCUGUCUGCUUGAAUAUUUGGGAAGUAUCGCAAACUUGAACAUUUAGAGGAAGUAA